GUGACCUUUGACCCUAGAAUCUCCAACCAAACUCUGAGAUCAGUCUCUCCAGUACCCAGUCAUCUGUCCAUGAAGAGUGACUUAUCUAUGGAUCGUCCUAUACAUUUUAAGGAUGGACCAGUGACCUUUGACCCUAGAAUCUCCAACCAAAUUCGGAGAUCAGUCUCUCCAGUACCCAGUCAUCUGUCCAUGAAGAGUGACUUAUCUAUGGAUCGUCCUAUACAUUUUAAGGAUGGACCAGUGACCUUUGACCCUAGUGGAAGGUCUACUCUGUUAGAGGAUCAGU